GUGGCGCAGCUACCAUGCAGUCGAACGGAUCCUUCGGGAUUAGUGGCAGACGGGUGAGUAACGCGUGGGAAGCUACCUUGUGGUAGGGAACAACAGUUGGAAACGACUGCUAAUACCCUAUGAGCCCUAUGGGGGAAAGAUUUAUCGCCAUGAGAUGUGCCCGCGUUAGAUUAGCUAGUUGGUAAGGUAAUGGCUUACCAAGGCGACGAUCUAUAGCUGGUCUGAGAGGAUGAUCAGCCACACUGGGACUGAGACACGGCCCAGACUCCUACGGGAGGCAGCAGUGGGGAAUAUUGGACAAUGGGGGCAACCCUGAUCCAGCCAUGCCGCGUGAGUGAUGACGGCCUUAGGGUUGUAAAGCUCUUUCAGCAGUGAAGAUAAUGACAUUAACUGCAGAAGAAGCCCCGGCUAACUUCGUGCCAGCAGCCGCGGUAAUACGAAGGGGGCUAGCGUUGUUCGGAAUCACUGGGCGUAAAGCGUACGUAGGCGGACUGAUCAGUCAGGGGUGAAAUCCCGGGGCUCAACCCCGGAACUGCCUUUGAUACUGUCAGUCUUGAGAUCGAGAGAGGUGAGUGGAACUCCGAGUGUAAAGGUGAAAUUCCUAGAUAUGUCGGAAGAACACCAGUUGGGAAGGUGGGUCACUGACUCGAUACUGACGCUGAUGUACGAAAGC
rnacentral:rRNA from 1 species